rnacentral:lncRNA from 1 species
AAACUACUUCCGUAAUCUCAGGGAUACUCAUCCAACUCAUCCAUAUGAACGUUGGAAAAAAGGCUUUAAUUAUUUACAUAUUACAUUAAAACUAUUGUAUGAAUGGAUAAACUUAAGUAAAACAUGGGAUUCCUCCCAUAAAAUAGUGAAGCCCACAUUUGUAGGCAAAGCCACGUGAGGCUUCAUGGCCAUACGCGUCAAUAUCUUCCACUUGGCUAUGAUGGCCAAACAUAAUAAUAAG